UACAGAGGGUGCAAGCGUUGUUCGGAAUUAUUGGGCGUAAAGCGCGUGUAGGCGGCUUUGCAAGUCGGGUGUGAAAGCCCUCAGCUCAACUGAGGAAGUGCGCCCGAAACUGCAGAGCUUGAGUGUCGGAGAGGAUAGCGGAACACCCGGUGUAGAGGUGAAAUUCGUAGAUAUCGGGUAGAACACCAGUGGCGAAGGCGGCUAUCUGGACGACAACUGACGCUGAGACGCGAAAGCGUGGGGAGCAAACAGG
rnacentral:rRNA from 1 species